rnacentral:rRNA from 1 species
UACGUAGGGUGCAAGCGUUUAAUCGGAAUUACUGGGCGUAAAGCGUGCGCAGGCGGUUGUGCAAGACAGAUGUGAAACCCCCGGGCUCAACCUGGGAAUUGCAUUUGUGACUGUACGGCUAGAGUGUGUCAGAGGGGGGUAGAAUUCCACGUGUAGCAGUGAAAUGCGUAGAGAUGUGGAGGAAUACCGAUGGCGAAGGCAGCCCCCUGGGAUAACACUGACGCUCAUGCACGAAAGCGUGGGGAGCAAACAGG